GAAAUGCGAUAAGUAAUGUGAAUUGCAGAAUUCAGUGAAUCAUCGAAUCUUUGAACGCACCUUGCGCUCCUUGGUAUUCCUUGGAGCAUGCCUGUUUGAGUAUCAUGAAAUCUUCAAAGUAAAUCUUUUGUUAACUCAAUUGGUUUCUACUUUGGUAUUGGAGGUCUUUGCAGCUUCACACCUGCUCCUCUUUGUUCAUUAGCUGGAUCUCAGUGUUAUGCUUGGUUCCACUCGGCGUGAUAAGUUAUCUAUCGCUGAGGACACUGUAAAAGGUGGCCAAGGUAAAUGCAGAUGAACCGCUUCUAAUAGUCCAUUGGCUUGGACAAUACUUUUAUGAUCUGAUCUCAAAUCGGGUAGGACUACCCGCUGAACUUAAGC
rnacentral:misc_RNA from 1 species